UUGGCAACUUUCCUCGAUGUCCGGUUCCGG
rnacentral:piRNA from 1 species